GCCAACGUAGCUCAGCUGGUAGAGCAGCUGAUUCGUAAUCAGCAGGUCGCAGGUUCAAGUCCUGUCGUUGGCUCCA
rnacentral:tRNA from 1 species